AUUGAACGCUGGCGGCAGGCCUAACACAUGCAAGUCGAGCGGAUGAAGGGAGCUUGCUCCUGGAUUCAGCGGCGGACGGGUGAGUAAUGCCUAGGAAUCUGCCUGGUAGUGGGGGAUAACGUCCGGAAACGGGCGCUAAUACCGCAUACGUCCUGAGGGAGAAAGUGGGGGAUCUUCGGACCUCACGCUAUCAGAUGAGCCUAGGUCGGAUUAGCUAGUUGGUGGGAUAAAGGCCUACCAAGGCGACGAUCCGUAACUGGUCUGAGAGGAUGAUCAGUCACACUGGAACUGAGACACGGUCCAGACUCCUACGGGAGGCAGCAGUGGGGAAUAUUGGACAAUGGGCGAAAGCCUGAUCCAGCCAUGCCGCGUGUGUGAAGAAGGUCUUCGGAUUGUAAAGGACUUUAAGUUGGGAGGAAGGGCAGUAAGUUAAUACCUUGCUGUUUUGACGUUACCAACAGAAUAAGCACCGGCUAACUUCGUG
rnacentral:rRNA from 1 species